rnacentral:rRNA from 1 species
UGGGGAAUCUUGCGCAAUGGGGGCAACCCUGACGCAGCGACGCCGCGUGAGUGAGGAAGGCCUUCGGGUCGUAAAGCUCUGUCAAAGGGAAAGAAGUGCAUGGUGGCUAAUACCUGCCAUGUUUGACGGUACCCUUAAAGGAAGCACCGGCUAACUCCGUGCCAGCAGCCGCGGUAAUACGGAGGGUGCAAGCGCUGUUCGGAAUUACUGGGCGUAAAGGGCGCGUAGGCGGUUUGAUAAGUCAGAUGUGAAAGCCCACGGCUUAACUGUGGAAGUGCAUUUGAAACUGUCAGACUUGAGUAUCAGAGGGGAAAGUGGAAUUCCCGGUGUAGAGGUGAAAUUCGUAGAUAUCGGGAGGAAUACCGGUGGCGAAGGCGACUUUCUGGCUGAAUACUGACGCUGAGGCGCGAAAGCGUGGGGAGCAAGCA